rnacentral:rRNA from 1 species
AGACCCGAAACCCGGUGAUCUAGCCAUGGGCAGGUUGAAGGUUGGGUAACACUAACUGGAGGACCGAACCGACUAAUGUUGAAAAAUUAGCGGAUGACCUGUGGCUGGGGGUGAAAGGCCAAUCAAACCGGGAGAUAGCUGGUUCUCCCCGAAAGCUAUUUAGGUAGCGCCUCGUGAAUUCAUCUCCGGGGGUAGAGCACUGUUUCGGCUAGGGGGCCAUCCCGGCUUACCAACCCGAUGCAAACUGCGAAUACCGGAGAAUGUUAUCACGGGAGACACACGGCGGGUGCUAACGUCCGUCGUGAAGAGGGAAACAACCCAGACCGCCAGCUAAGGUCCCAAAGUCAUGGUUAAGUGGGAAACGAUGUGGGAAGGCCCAGACAGCCAGGAUGUUGGCUUAGAAGCAGCCAUCAUUUAAAGAAAGCGUAAUAGCUCACUGGUCGAGUCGGCCUGCGCGGAAGAUGUAACGGGGCUAAACCAUGCACCGAAGCUGCGGCAGCGACACUCAGGUGUUGUUGGGUAGGGGAGCGUUCUGUAAGCCUGUGAAGGUGGCCUGUGAGGGUUGCUGGAGGUAUCAGAAGUGCGAAUGCUGACAUAAGUAACGAUAAAGCGGGUGAAAAGCCCGCUCGCCGGAAGACCAAGGGUUCCUGUCCAACGUUAAUCGGGG